UUUUAGUCUUAGAUCCUUCAAUAAAUACCAAGCACUUACCACCUGGAUGGUGCACAAUGUUUGGAUAUUAUGAAUGAAACUGCCACGAACUUUUGUGAACAAGUCUUUGUGUGAACACAAGCAUUUAUCUGUCUUGGAAAAAAACCUGGAAUGGAAUGACUAGGUCAUAUGGAAUUGAAUUCUUGGAAGAUGAGGCUGGAAAAUUUCAUCGUCAUUACGUCAACAUGCUAACAGAUGGUCUGCAAAGCACUUCUCAGGUUUCAUUCAGUAUUUCUGUGAAGAAGCCAGGGGAUCAUGAUGUUCUACUGUGAGAAUGACAGAAAGAGCAAACAAGAACACCUGGGUUACACGAGCUGACUUGCUUCUCUUCAAUGGACAGUAUGAACACAGGUCAGAAUAAUUUCUCCUUUGCAGAGCUACACCAGCACUCUCUCAUGGAAAAGAAUGAGGCAGAGUCAAGGGAGAAAAACAGGAACAUGAGGCUUACAAAUAAUGAUAAAUAUGUCACUAUUCUGAGAGCACCUGUGAUAUACAUACUAUGUCCUUAAACUAAAUGGUUUGGACAAGGUCACCUAUCCAGGGAGGAGGAUCCAAGGCAGUUGAUCUAAGACCUACUUCAAUCCACUUGACCGUAUUUUACUAAUGAGGACAGAGACCAUUAUACUCUGUCACGUUUACAAUGAUAUGAAUAAAUUUUCCUAACAGUUUCUACAAGGUCUUUUUUCUCUUUUUGCAUUUCAAUUGCAUUGUAUGUGAUCAAUUUCAAGUACAAGUGAAUUGCAAGUGGAAAACUUCUGAGAGCAAGUGAGUUGCACUUGACAUUUUGGGUUCCCUGUAGCUGAGUAGCUCUCAAAAAGGUCACAUACAACUUUGUUGCACUGCAAAAUGCCAAGGGCAACUCAGUAGCAAUUGGAAAUUGAAAGGGAAAUUAUAUUCUACCAGAAAUCAGUCACAUGGAUUCUGAAGAAAGAUCUUUGUUCUAUUAAUUGUGUGUGAGGAAAAUAGAAAAUUG
rnacentral:lncRNA from 1 species